GCAGGACGCUCAGGAGUUCCUGCGUUUUCUCUUGGAUGGCCUACACAACGAGGUCAACAGAGUCACUGUCAGGCCAAGAGGCAUCGUAGAGGACUUUGACCACUUGCCAGAUGAAGAGAAAGGGAAGAAGAUGUGGAGUAAAUACCUGGAGA